rnacentral:lncRNA from 1 species
CCCCUUUUGCUUCCACUCGCUAUUCUUUCUCUGCCGGCCGUGGAGACGACGACCGCCGCCGCCGCCAUCGAGCCACGGUCGUCACUCUUCCUCUUGCGUUCUGUGGCCUCCCCAUGACGCCGAGCUUUCCCUUCUAACCCCACCGCAUAACGUACAACCGUGACGCCGGAACACCGCCGCGCCCACAGAAGCACCAGAGCGCCGCCGCUCGGACAUCAUCGCUGUCCGGUCAACUCCGACCAAAUCAGACCGAACCACCGCGCCACUGACUUCGUCUCAAUCCCAGGAAGCUGCCGCCCGAAGGAAUCGGACUACGACGCUGUGAACUCGGAGAUCGGCCGUUUCUCCCCCAACUCCGGCCACCGGGCUCCAUCCUCCAAUUCUCCCUCUCCGGUGAGCCCUUGUUCGAUUCCUUGUGCGUGAACCAUCCCAAGAACCCAAGUGACCUCACGGAUAUCUUCUUCUAGCUUCUCAUCGACCCGAGUGGGCUGUCGCCGUGAAGCCACCAUUUUCUGCCGCCGCCGGGGAGUCUUCUCCAUCGCCAUCGCUGUCCGGGAUCCGCCAACCGUCGCGCACCCCUUGGUGAGUCUCCAGGAACUCAGUAGAUGCUUAUGCAUGCAUUCAACCACACGGAUUCGAGCCGUAACUCGAAAUACACUUGCAACCCGAGAACCUCCGCCGCCUGCGCCGUCGCCACCGUCGAUUCCGACCACCGCAGCCUGCGAGAAGACUACCGAUCGCUUCGCCGUGGAACCCUCUACAUUUCCUCUUUUAGUCGCCCACCGAGAUCGGCCGCCAUUUGCCUAUGCCGCCGGCGAGAAGCUCGCCGAGGCGCCACUGCCCUGCCUCCUCAGCGCCAAGCCACUGACGAAUGGACCCCACCUAAUUAGCGCCCGAGGACUUGGCUUAGCUAUAGUUUAAAACUUGCAAGGUUCAAUCUGUAAAACUCUUUUGUAUGGCAUGUGGACUCAGGACCCAUUUGUAAAUAGAGAAAACCCCGAGGACUCUUAAUGGAAAUCGCUUUAGCACGUGCUUUAGGGCUGCGGGUUGAUUCCUGUAAACUCCAGGGACUUUUCUGCAUAAUACCAGUCACUGACCAGUGGACCCAAGGGUUUAUAAUUUGAGCAAAAAUAAAGGAAAUGGAUAAAGUAAUAUCUUUUCAACUGAAAAUUACUUCAAACUUGUAAAAUCCAUAUAAAAUCAAAUAUAGCUCAUUUUGAGGUGAAACCAAUUUCUAUAGGUUCAUAAAAUUGUGAUCUUUAAUAUUGUAGAAUAAAAUCCUACACCCACAGUAUGAUAUUUAUUUCUAAAAUUCCAAAGAAGAAAUAGUUACAUAGAACUUGUACAAUUUGUAGGAAAUUCAUCUUUACUCCAAAUGAAGUGAACCAAAUUUCUGUAGAUUCACAGAAGUAUAUACUUUAUUUUUAAAAACAUAAUAUUUCAUACUUUCUGUACAGGAAACAGUAAUAGUAAUUUAUACCAUAUAAUGACCACCACUUGUACUAUUUGAUUUCUAAAAUUUAUAGGAAAUUCAUAUCAGCUCUAAAAAUUAUGAAACCAAUUGUAUUCAUCUUAGAAAACAAUCCUCUUCAUCCCGGUAAGGUUAACUUGAUGAAAACCAUAUAUUAAAAAUGUUUCACAUCAAUACGUUAAUAAAUACUACUAUAUGUCAAUGCAAAUUUAUGAAAUUCAUAACUCAUAAUUAAAGAGAGAUAAAAUAGGAAUUCUUUACCUAAAUUUAUCUUAGGCCAGAACCUAUCCACUGUGUACAAAUCAUGCAUUUUAGAGUAUUUUGUAUUUUACGCAUAAUUUGGUAUUUAUGUGCAUACCGUGUACUUUGUAUAGAUAUUUCGCAUCAAUGGUGAAAGAGUGAUUUAAGAGAUAUUUACAUUGUUCCAGAUCAAGGCAAGUUUAUUCCUCCUCUUUCCUUUGAUCACCUUGAAACCUAUGAUUUGGGAGAUGAAAAGCAUUUGUUUCCGAAACUGCAUAUGUAUUUAAGUUAAAAUGAUAUUUGAAACUUAUUAAAUGGUAGCUAUGACCUUAUUGCUGCAUAAUCUUCCUUGAUAUGUUGUUACCCUUUCAUUUGUAACCAUAGUAAUAAUGGGAGUACAUUGGUUGUACUCUAAUGGGACUAAUUAAGUUUUUAUAUGCCAAUUGCUUAGCCAUGCCUAGAACUAUGCAAAUGAAUGAUUUUAUAACUUGAUAAAUGGGAUUAUGAUUAUCUGGGUUAAUGCUGGAUUUAUGAUGGAAAUGUUAAGUAUUUGUGAACUAAAAUGGAGUUAAACUUGUUUUUAGACUUGGGCGGCAAGUGGUGUGCAUAUGGUGGUAGUUGUGCACCGAUAGGGGGAGUGUUCGCCCAGGUUGAUUAAGGACCGAACUUGGUGUCGUUCACUAUUGUUUACCGUACAUCCACAUGUGCUAUUAUGGGGUGGCCUUAGCUAAUUAAGUUACUUAAAAUCUAGCCUUACAUAUUGGUAGGCUGGAGUAGAAUGAAUUAGUCUGAGCGAUGAUUCACAGGAACUACCCAUGUGUGUGUGAUGAUUAUAUUGCUAGCCACUAUUACUAGCUGGGUGUGUUCUGUGAGGGGACGGAUGGUCCGCCUCACAGCAUGGGCGUCUAAGUCUAUCCAAUUCAACGGUAUAGUGCCUCGUGGGGGAACGGAUGUGUUCGCUGCCACGGCGUUAGGUUUAAAGCGUGGGCCCGCUACCUAGCGAUUCUGGGUCAUGCCCAGGAUGGAUUCACACUUGCCAUCGCUGAUGCAAGGUUAGGCGUUAAGUAAUGUAAAGGCUACGUUGUGACCUCUAGACUGCAUUCAAUGUGUAGAAUGUGGUGGUAUCGACGGGUACCGAACAAACUAGAGGGAUUCACGUCAUGUGGGUAAAGCUGUACAAACUCUGCAGAGUUCUCUAAAACUAAUCGAUUAGCCUUGCUCACGGUCAUGAGCGACAUAGUGAAUUGUCAUGGGUAUAGACUUAUGUUUUAUAAAUGUGUGUCGAGCACCAAAAAUUCAUAUAGUCCAGUGAUAUUUGUGGUCACCACAUGAUCUUGGCUGAGUGGGAUCCAUACAUGCAUAAAUAGCCACUCAUAUCUCAAUGUGUUCAUGACCACAACAUAACACCAUUCGAUAUGAACUCUGCGAUGCCGAAUAAUGAGCAAAGGAGAUAUUGCUGGGACUCAGCGUGCCAGUCAACUUCAGCCUGAGACAUACCCGUCAAACCAUUCGAAGAUGGCGACCAGAUGUGUUACACAUCUCAGGAGACUUGACUCAAAUUGCUGAGCUCUACAACAUCUCAAUUGCUCAAAAUUCUUACUCAUGCUUAGCUAGCCCCAAGAAGAUGCUAGCUUCGUACUUUCAUCUAAGCCAUGGUAUUAACUCAAAUACAUGUAAGGUGACUUAGACAUAACUAGAGGCAGAUAACACAGUUACUUACAUAUAGCCAUUCGACUAAUUAGAUAAAGUCCUUCGGAAGCAUGUCUACCCAAAUUCCCCACAAGCAACCGACUAGGGUAAACCCCUUGAUAGGACCAAUCCUGAGAGAAACAACUAUUCCCGCAACACUCAAUUACCUGCAAAAAAAAUGGAUAUUCCAGUCUAACAAGUGUUAGUACAUUAAUCGAGUUAAUGUACUGGCAAACGCACAGUCAAACCUACAUACAUGAAGGCUAGAUUCAAAGAGAGGCUUAUAUGUAGUCGGGGUUUUCAGCAUAAAGCUAAUUUUAGUUCACAAUUCAUUUGCAACGCAAUUUGAACAAAACAUUUCAACAAUUAUGUAAAGCAUAAUAUUCAUGGCAUGAUACCAACAUAAAUAGAUAGUAGCAUUUUAUCACAAUCCAAUCCGAAAAUAGGGCAAUCACAUCACAUAUAUCAAUCUCAUUAUCAUUCCAAAACAUUUAGUUUCAAAGGCAUUUAAGAAAACAUAAAAGUAUACCCACAUCACAUCACUAUGCCGCUCAUGACCGUGAGCACGGCUAAUCGAUUAGUUUUUAUAACUCUGCAGAGCUUGUACAACUUUACCCACAUGGUAUGAACUCUCUAGUUUAUCUUGUGCUGGCCCAGCACUACCACACUCUACAUGUUGAAUGCGGUCUAGAGGUCAUAACGAGGCUUUUACAUUAAGUAUUGUCUAACCUUGUAUGAGCACGAUAAGUGUGAAUCCACCCUAGGCUUAAGUCCUAGAGUCGUUAGGUAGCGGGCCCACACCUUAAACCUAACGCCGUGACGGCGAACACAUCCGUUCCCUCAUGAGGCACGUUAUCGUUGUAUUGGACAGACUUAGACGCCCAUGCUGUGAGACAGAACAUUACACUCGUUCCCCCACGGUAAUCACACCCAGCUAGAAUAUUCGCUAGCAAUAAACACAACACAAUCAUUAACACAUACAUGGGUAGUUCCUAUAGAUAGCCCACAGUACACUCGUGGCCACUACCUCUACUACAACGGCCUCCCGAAUGCAAGGUCAGACAAAUGCUUAACUUAAUAGGCCAAGGUUAUCCCCAUACAUAACACAUGUGGAUGUACGGUAAACAUAAGUGGGUGAUAUGUAGUUCAGUCCUUAAACAACUCAGGCGGACACUCCCCCUAUCGAUAUGCAACUACCACCAUAUGCAUAUCACUUGCCGCCUAAGUCUGAAAUUCACAUUCCUUUUAUUUUAGUUCACAAAUAAGCAGAGAACUCCUCUCUGUUCAUAAUUUCUAAAAUGAUUCAAAUAACAUAAUAAGUGAUCCAUAACCAUGAUUUAUUUAUUACUAAGCAAAGCUAAGCACUUGCAUUUUUACAAAAAGCGUAGGGGUUUCCAUUUGAGUACAAAUAGGGUACUCUAAACCAUUCUAAGGUUACAAACAUCAUGAAUAACAAUUGUCAAGGAGGAUUAUGCAACAAAUAGGUCAUAACUACCAUUUCAUCACUUUCAAAUAAUUUUUCCAAAUAUAACUAUCUAACGCAUGCAAUUUUGCAAUAGAAAACGUUUGCCCAAUAAAACAUAGGAUCAAAGUGUUCAAAGGAGGAGGGCAACACUUGCCUUGAUUGAUGUCCUUACUGGAGUCAGCGAAAGGUUAUAUCUUCUCACCAACAACGUAAUCGUCUUCUAAAAGAAAUAUCGAUAAUCGGGUAAAUACCGAAACAUACAAAUAUUCAAAAUGUUCUAAAAUGCAUGAAUUCACUAGUGUGGUUAGAUGCUGUGGGUUUAUAAUUUGUGGUGAAGGAAAUUCUAUUUUAUCAUAUUGCAUUUGUGAGUUAUAAAUUCUUAAAGUCUAAAACUAGAAAUAACUUAAUUAGGCUCUAUUUAGCUCUAAGUGCAUUUUGGGUUCAAGAUUGGCAAAGCCUUAGGUUUCUGCAGCAGAGAGUAAUUUCUCCAAAGCUUAACAAAAUUUAGUUCACAAUAUUUAAAGCUAGCAUGAAUUUAUUAUGAAUUUAACAAUUUAAAUGACAUAUUAUAAGUCUUACUUAUUAUACAACUUUUAAAUAUGUUUUUGGUACUAUAUGUACUACAUUUAAAUUUAUGAAAACUAAGUCUAUGAGAUUUAUAACCCAACCCAUCUGGAAUUAUAUUAUUUGGAGUUAGAAUGAAUUUUGUAUGAAUUUUAUAAAUUAGUGAAUGCUAUAUAUUAAGUAUUCCAUAUAUUAAUUUUUAAAGACAUUUCUUCUACUGUAGGCAACAUGUUUUAUCUUACCAAAUUAAAGUUUACAAUUUUGUGAAUCCAUAGAAAUUUAGUUCACCUCAAAUGGAGUUAAAAUGAAUUUUAUAUGCAUUUUACAAGUUUCACUCAUUUUCCUGUUGAAAAAUUAUUGUUUUGGAUAUUUCCUUUAAUAUUUCCAAUUUUUAAAGAUAAUGGGUCCACUAGUCAGCCUCUGUACUUUUGCAGAAAAGUCCCUGGGUUUCCAAGGAUUCAACCCGAAGUCCCCAGCACAUGUCUAAAUACAUUUUCAUUAAGAGUUCUCAAAUUUCUGAUUAAUUGCUAGUAGGUCCUUGGUCCCACAUGUCAUAGGUUAUACAAUUACACAUUAGUACAGAAGGUUUUGUCUUCCUUACAAAUUAUACCUCGGCUACUUAUAUGCAGUGGGGCCCGCAGGUCAGUGGCUUAGUGAGAGAGAGACCGGAGGCAGCGGCUGAAGGCGGCGACCGACGAGCUUGUCGUCGACGCCGGCGGCAAACAGCGGGUUUUCGCGAGGUGCGACCCAGAGAGAAGAGGUGGAGGAGGGGCUGGCGAUCCCGUCGGUGGUCAUGUUGUUGGCUGUGGUGGUCGGAGUCGACGCCGGCGACGUUGUGAGUGGCGGAGUGCUUCGGCAUGCUAAGGCAUCUCGGUCUCUAGCUCAAUUCAGUGGGGUUUCAUGCAUGCAUUCGCACCUACGGAGAUCGUGGUUGCUUACUUGAGGUCGCGCUGGGCUCGGCGAGGCUUGGACAGCAGUGGUGACGCGAAGACAACUCCGGCGGCGGCGGAAUCGGGCAGGGCGACGGUGACAGCGAAGAGCGGCCAACCUCCUGCCAAAGUGACACAUGCGCAAGGUUAGAGAUGCCCUAGGGAUGCUACCCACGAGAGGAAUUGAGCCGGAACUCACCCGAGGACGAGAAAUCGACGGCGAUGGCCAGCGGCCGGACUUGGAGAAGACGAAAAGGUUCUCUUCAACGGCAGUGACUUAGCUUGAGUUCACUUGGGCGUCUUGCGCCUGGGAUCUAGACGACUGCCCUGGCGCAGUGGCUCAGCUAGGGUUUCACCGGGUCGACGGGAACGGCGAUGCGAACUGUGGCUGCGCUCUGGACACCGAGGACGCCGAUGAGUUUAGCACAUGGUGGAUAGGGGAAAGCUACCGAGGGUUUAGGCGUGGAUAGGGGAUCGUGUUCCCACGGUUGGUCCGCGGUGAAGCUCACCAGAGAAAGAUGGCGACAGUGGUGGAUCCCGACGGCGUCGGAGAAGAUGGAUUCGCUCCCGGAGCUCCCGAGACGAUCUCGCUAGGGUUUUGGGAGGAACGCGGCGAGGAUGAAAGGCUUCGUCGGUGGGCAAAGCAACGCUAUUUAUAGAGGAGAUCGGGAUUGCGGUGGACGGCGAGGUGGCGCACUGGGGUGCUAGCGCGUGUAUGCGACGUGGCAGCCGUUCCUGGCUUGGAGAAGGAGGUGGCAAGCUUGAGUGAUUGACAGGUGGGUCCUACCAAGGCUGAGCCCACAUGGCAGAGAGAGAAAUGGGUAGUUUCUUCGGUGAACUACUGCACAAUUGAUUUUCAAAGAAUUUACAGAUAUAUUUCCUCUCCCUUCUUUUUAAUUCUCUGACUCAAUUUCUGUGCAAGAUAAAUUAAGGUGGAUUUUACUGGUGAUAGAUAAAACUACCUAGAUUCCAUUUUCCUUGGUUGCACGCAAAAAUACUCUAUAUUUUAUUCCCAGGAAAAUAAAGAAAGUAGGCCUAGCUGAAAUUAGAUUGAAUUUUUAGGAGGUCAAAACCUAUUAAAUAAAUUCUGGAAAAAUUAUAUCAAUUCAUGACAAAUAAGGUAGUAUUUGAAUAAAUUAUGUUCCAUGUACAUUUUCAUGUGAUAAAAUACAUUUAUGAGGUGUGUGUCUUUUUUGCCGAUUAGGGUUUAGUAUUAACCUAUGGGUUGACUGUUUUGACCUAAUUAUUUGGGGUAACAAAUGUACAUAUUAAUUUACACCAAAAUUUCAGUGACUUAUAUAUAUUAAAUAGUACCUCCAUGAAUUUCCUCAUGAUUUUAUAUUGCACCAAUUAUUUUUAAAUAUUCAAUGAGUUCACCUACCCUUAAGUAUUCUUAUUUUGAAUAUAUAUUUAAAUGGUAGAAAAAUUAUAUUUUAGUUUAGAAUCAACCAGAAAUGUUAUGUUUAGGCUUUACUUUCAUUUACAUUUCUAUUUUGGACUCAAAAAUAAAUUUUUAUUAUUUAUCUGAAGUAAAAAUUCGAAAUUCGAAUUUUUGGUAUGUUACAAUGUGUUUAUGAAAAUGGGCUAUGGGAAUGGUGAUGGAUAUGGAGUGUGGUGAAGUAUGAUGAUGAUGGUGAUGAUGUUGCCCAGUGUGGGCUGAUAUGAUGGUGCUGGUGAUGACUUGGGUAUCGGAGAUGAGAGUAUGUAUAUGAGGUUGAGAUGGUGAAUAUUAUGGUUUACUUACGUUACUGUUUUAUUAAUUGAAUUGUGAACUCCUUUACAAAUGAUUGUGAACUAAAAUUUGCUUUAUACUAAAAUAAGCUACAAAUAGCCUUUCUUUGAUUUAUGUCAUGCAUGAUGUAGUAUGUUAGGAUUGUCUUGUGCUUGCCGGUACAUUAACUUGUUUAAUGUACUGACUCUUGUACGACUGGAAUAUCCAUUUUGCAGGUUGAUUGCUUAGUCUUCUGAGUGAUUUGUGGAAAUCGUUGCUUCUUCUAGGAUCGGAUCCAAAAGGAGUAUUCUCCUUGUCGGCCGCUUGUGGAUUUGGGUAGCCAAGCUUUCGCGGAUCAGUAAAUAUCUGGCCGUUUGGCCUAACUAUUUAGAUAAGAAUGUAGAGUAAAGUUUACUUAUGUUUACUCCCUAUUUAUUCUGAUUGUCAUCGCUUAGAUGAAAGUGUGGAACUAGAGCUUUUCCUGGGAUCUAGUUCUGCACCGGUAUGAGUUUUGAGCAUUUGGGAUGUCGUAGAGCUUUAGCGAAUUUUGUCGAGUCUCCUGAGAUGUGUAACACAUCUGGUCGCCAUCUUCGUGUGGUUUGACGAGCAUGUCUCAGGCUGAAAUUGACUAGCAUGCUAAAGUCCCAGCAAUAUCCCCUAUGCUCUCUACUCGGCGCUUCAGGUUCUAUAUUAAGUAGGUCAUUUGACUUGAUAGGGGAGCGAUGAG